rnacentral:lncRNA from 1 species
CGCUCUUUAAGUUGGAAGAGCCAUCUUAAAUGGAAACUACAUCGGUCGCUCGCCUCUCACAUACACCAAAGUAACAUGCGCCUAUUUUAAUCUGAUUAAUGCUUUUGAGAUUUCCUUCUAAUUGACUUGGACUUUGCAGAGGUGCGCUUGUAGGUCUCUUCAACACAUUUUCUCCACAGUGUUGUUCACGCACGGGAGUAUUGCAGCGUUUCGGUUUAUUUUGGCCAGUUUAUUGAAACGAUCAAAAGUGAGCACCGUAGCCUACCUCAUCCCUGACCAUUCAAAAGCCUGUAUGUGAACAAGACAGCCGACAGCAAUGCCGCAGAAGUAAAUCACAGCGUACCGAUGCAAAGUGGAUUUUACCCCAAGAUCAAGACCUCUGCAGGACUGUGACGAGGGCAGAGGACACGGCCACUGUGGGAACCGAAGAAUGCUGAGUGGUGACGUUGACUUCAACACCAAAUGCAUGAUGGGAGGAGGAACUUGUGACAAAGCAGGGAAGGUAAAAGGAUCAUUGGCUCAACUGACAACGAACUGCUUGAAAUCAGCGUAUUGUAAUUCUACAUAUACUGUUAUGAUGUAUGAUUAAAUGAUGCAACUGAAGAAGACGUAGCACUGUAUUUCAAGACAAGAAAAUCUUUUCUUGACGACAGUAGAAAUGUUUUUUUAUCAACUGUACAAUAAUUUCUGCCAGACGCACAAGUAAAUAAACAUGGGUC